GGCGACUGGCUUUGUUGGGCGAGUGUGUGGUGGUGUCCCUGUGGCUGGACACGAUUGGUGUUUUGCAGCAUCUUCAUAUCCGCUAACAGGUCAAAAUGCAGAUCUUCGUGAAGAGCCUUACCUGCAAGACCAUUGCCCUUGAGGUGGAGCCCAGUGACACCAUCGAAAAUGUGAAGGCCAAGAUCCAGGAUAAGAAAGGCAUUCUCCCUGAGCAGCAGACGCUCAUCCUUGCAGUCAAGCAGGUGGAAGAUGACCGCACUCUUUCUGACUAUAACGUCCAGAAAGAGUCGACCCUGCACCUUGUCCUGUGUCUGAGAGGUAGUAUGCAGAUCUUUGUGAAGACCCUGAUUGGCAAGACCAUCACCCUGAAAGUGGAGCCCAACGACACCAUCAAAAAUGUGAAGGCCAAGAUCCAGGAUAAAGAAGGCACCCCCUACCCCCAGCCCCGACCAGCAGAGGUUCAUCUUUGCAGGCAAGCAGCUGGAAGAUGGCCGCACUCUUUCUGACUAUGACAUCCAGAAAGAGUCGACCCUGCACCUGGUCCUUCACCUGAGGAGUGGCUGUUAAUUCUCCAGUCUUGCAUUCACAGUUCCCAGUGACGGCAUUACUCUGCAGUAUAGCCAUUUGCCUCAACUUAAGUUUAGAAAUUACAAGUUUCAGUAACAGCUGAACCUGUUCAAAAUGUUAAUAAAGGUUUUGUCGCAUGGU